UCCCUGGUGGUCCAGUGGCUAAGACUCCAUGCUCCCAGUGCAGAGGACCCGGGUUCGAUCCCUGGUCAGGGAA
rfam:TPA: Bos taurus chromosome 10, whole genome shotgun sequence.